CAACAAAAGACAAAAGCCCCAUUCUUACACCAUCUUACCUCCAUCUCUUUCUCCCUCUCUCUCACUACCGAUUUCCUCUUCUUCCCCAUUCUUCUCUCUUCUUUUUUUUUUCUUUGAUCGAUCCUCUUCUUCCCCAUUCUCACGCCGCUGCCACCUCAUCGAUCCUCACGCCGCAACCUUCGUCGCUGGGAGCCGGAGUUGCCGUCGCAGCUGCUCGCCAGCCGCCGUUGCGGCGAGAAGGAAGGUCAGUCGCCGCUCGCCGCUGCCCGCUGCCGGGAGACGCCGCCCGACUGCUGCCGGUACCUUCUUUCCCCGGAAACACCCCGAACAAGCCCGCAACCACCCCGAAACGUCCCGCAAGACACGUUUUUACUACAAAGUUGUGUUCUUUCGUGCUUUCGAUUAAAAGCGGCGAUGUUCGAUUGAUUUCAAAAAAUUGAAUUGUUUGAACUAAACGUGGGAGGUGGAUGUAUGAGAUAAUGUAUGGACAAGAUGUUAAGACUUCAUGCCUUGGAAAAGAGUAGAGAUUAUACCUCAGUGAUUUCGAACUUGGUUGUGGUUGAAUCAAAAUGAAUUAAGUGAGGAGAUGGAAGGUGAAGAAGUGGGGAAAAUGGGGAGUCUCCAUGGGGAAGGUAACCGGCCGAGAAGAAGAGAAGAGAAGAGAAGAGAAAAAGGAAAAAAAAAAUGUUGGGCUUACUCCCAUAUUCUUGGAAUGACUUGGGCUUCCAAUUGAAUUUAUUUGAUUUGGGCUCAUUUAGCUGCAAGCCCAAUUUGUAUUAUUUAAUUAUUUGUUAGUCUGUAGAUUGUUAUGGCCCAAAGUCAUUUUAUAUAAACAUUUGGACUCCAAUUUUAUUUGAGAGGCCCAAAUAUAAAUAUACGUACUUUA